rnacentral:tRNA from 1 species
GGGCCCAUGGCGCAACGGUAGCGCACCUCGUUUGCAACGAGGGGGUUAGGAGUUCGAAUCUCCUUGGGUCCACAA